rnacentral:lncRNA from 1 species
CAAGAUACUUCGCCUAAAAAAAAAAACCAAGAGACAACAACAUCAUAAAUGAGUUUUCAACAGCCAAAUCGAUUCUUGUGAAAAAUCAGAAAGUGAGAUAAACAUAGAUAUAACACUAGGGCCACGUUUUACGGAUACAUUAAAAAAACAUUGCAUUAGAUCUCAUUUAUCAUACAACAAAGUAAAAUAUUUGACGCACCUUCAAGAUAUUAAUUCGAUCUAGCAGACCACAUACAAGCAGGUGAGAUUGUUGGCUUUGAUUGAUGGCUGAGAGAAGAUGCGGCCAGCUUCGAUCUAGGGUUUAGAGUUCGGCGGCGGAGGGUAAUGAGAAAGGGGUUGAGUGACUUCUAAAAAUGAAAGGACUAAAUCU